rnacentral:rRNA from 1 species
GCUUGCUACCUGACCUAGCGGCGGACGGGUGAGUAAUGCUUAGGAAUCUGCCUAUUAGUGGGGGACAACAUUCCGAAAGGAAUGCUAAUACCGCAUACGCCCUACGGGGGAAAGCAGGGGAUCUUCGGACCUUGCGCUAAUAGAUGAGCCUAAGUCAGAUUAGCUAGUUGGUGGGGUAAAGGCCUACCAAGGCGACGAUCUGUAGCGGGUCUGAGAGGAUGAUCCGCCACACUGGGACUGAGACACGGCCCAGACUCCUACGGGAGGCAGCAGUGGGGAAUAUUGGACAAUGGGCGAAAGCCUGAUCCAGCCAUGCCGCGUGUGUGAAGAAGGCCUUUUGGUUGUAAAGCACUUUAAGCGAGGAGGAGGCUACUUGGAUUAAUACUCUAGGAUAGUGGACGUUACUCGCAGAAUAAGCACCGGCUAACUCUGUGCCAGCAGCCGCGGUAAUACAGAGGGUGCGAGCGUUAAUCGGAUUUACUGGGCGUAAAGCGUGCGUAGGCGGCUUUUUAAGUCGGAUGUGAAAUCCCUGAGCUUAACUUAGGAAUUGCAUUCGAUACUGGGAAGCUAGAGUAUGGGAGAGGAUGGUAGAAUUCCAGGUGUAGCGGUGAAAUGCGUAGAGAUCUGGAGGAAUACCGAUGACGAAGGCAGCCAUCUGGCCUAAUACUGACGCUGAGGUACGAAAGCAUGGGGAGCAAACAGGAUUAGAUACCCUGGUAGUCCAUGCCGUAAACGAUGUCUACUAGCCGUUGGGGCCUUUGAGGCUUUAGUGGCGCAGCUAACGCGAUAAGUAGACCGCCUGGGGAGUACGGUCGCAAGACUAAAACUCAAAUGAAUUGACGGGGGCCCGCACAAGCGGUGGAGCAUGUGGUUUAAUUCGAUGCAACGCGAAGAACCUUACCUGGUCUUGACAUAGUAAGAACUUUCCAGAGAUGGAUUGGUGCCUUCGGGAACUUACAUACAGGUGCUGCAUGGCUGUCGUCAGCUCGUGUCGUGAGAUGUUGGGUUAAGUCCCGCAACGAGCGCAACCCUUUUCCUUAUUUGCCAGCGGGUUAAGCCGGGAACUUUAAGGAUACUGCCAGUGACAAACUGGAGGAAGGCGGGGACGACGUCAAGUCAUCAUGGCCCUUACGACCAGGGCUACACACGUGCUACAAUGGUCGGUACAAAGGGUUGCUACCUAGCGAUAGGAUGCUAAUCUCAAAAAGCCGAUCGUAGUCCGGAUUGGAGUCUGCAACUCGACUCCAUGAAGUC